GUGCAGUUCACUCAUUCUGAAGUCGGUUCCUCUGCAGGAUACAGUUCAGUAGACGGAGUUGAAGGGUGGAUCUCACAUUAAACAAGCAAAAAAACAAUGAGACACAAGAAAACUCUUGGAGGCAUAAGAAGCGGAGGCACAAGUGAGUGAGGCAACCUGUCCAAGGAUACACCCCUGGGAAACAGACCAGAGAUCCACGGCCGUGUCCUCACUCUCUAGGCACACCAAAGGCGGAAGCAAAGCUGGACCCUCGUUAAGGUCGUGCGCCUGUCUGGAGGCACGGCCAGCUUCUAGGAGAGCUUCCCUGAAUGGAUCCGACGCAGCUACACGCGCGCUGCUGUGAGCUCAGUGACUGAGGACCCUGCCCUCAAUCACGCGGGGCAGCCUGGAGGAAAAGCCCAACCCUUGGGCUGCUCCGCCGCCUGGGCUCCAUUCCCCACGCAGUCCCCUCCACCUAACUUUUCCUCCCCCAGGACCCGCGCCCCACACUGCCUAAACCCAGCGCAGGCUUCCAGUCCCAACCCAGCGCCCUCUCCGCGAGCUCAAUACCACGUGCUACUUCUCUGGUGGCUUUGGUUACAUCACUCUUGUUUUGUUUGUUGUUUGUUUUCCUUUUAACCACGAUUCUGUUUGUUUCUCUGCUGGCUCUCCCCUGCCACCCAGAUGGGAAGGAUGAGAGGUUUUCAGGUUUCUGUCCUAGGCUUUCUUCCAUGCUCCUUUGCACAUCUUCCCUGGACAAUUAGACCCUUUGCCAUGUGUUCAUCUACCUCAGGCCCUCAGCUUCCCAUCACACCUCAGUUCCCAAUGCUCUUUAGUGCAGCUGACCCCCACGCCCAUGGACUCCACUCCCUCUCCACGUGGACCAGCCACUGACAUUUCUAAAGCUGGGUUCAGAGAUUUCCCACCCAUGCCUCCUCCAGCUUUAGUAUUCCCAGCUUUUUAUAAACCAUCACGUGUCCCCAGUAGCUCAAGCUAGACCCUGAGCAAUGACCUUGACCAUCUGUCCUUCUCCAGGUCUCCUGGAUGCUGCCCCACCCCACUAGAUGGGGCUCUGGGCUCCAUCCCCCCUAAGAUGUGCUUCCCCUCUCACCUGCCUGGAUUAGGGGUUUCCUUCAUCCACAUCGGUUCUCCUUCAGUCUGUUCAUCAGUCAGAACGACUUUUCAUAAAAAGUAAGUGAAUCUGAUCCUUUAACUCACAAGCAUCCAGCCCUCAGCAGCUUCCUCUUUCAAGCAGAGUAAAGCUCAAAAUGCUGAAUGGAAGGUGGCCCCUAGGCCCUCAGACUCCUGUGCUCACCUCCUCAACAGCAGUUAUUCCACCUGACACAGGUUCUGUCCCUGCAAGGCUGUCAAAAGCCUCGAUUCCUCCCCCUGGAAGCCUUCGUCUCCCCUUGUGGAGUUGUGACUCUGAAACCCCAUCCAAUGCUGUUCUCGGAGCAGGCCUCACAAGCAUCCCAGCCUCCUUCCUCCCAAGGAUUAUCUGUAGCGUCCCCCACGCACCCUGUGGUUCCCAGUGAGGUGGUUUCCACACCUACAACUAUUUAGCUAUUUGUAAUCACCUGGCUGGUGCUUGCCUGCGUUGAAAGGUUGCAGACCAGGUGCACCUUCUCAGCUCACAGCCCCAUGCCUGGCACACGGCGGGCACACUCACCACGUGUUUGCUGAACGGCUGAUUCAAAUCCAGCACAUUCUCAGUAGCAUAGACUUAAGUUAAAGCAAUUUGAACGUCAAAUGAAAUGUAACAAGAAUGUUCUUAGAUGAUGACAGAGCAGAAGCACCAUCAUCUUGAACAAACAUCACCAUUUUAAAUUCCAGCUCCCUUUCUAACCUCAUGCAUUUCAAGGAAAUUACUUCUCUUCUAACAACAAGCAGCCAGAAAAAGCAGACAGCAAAACACACAUAAAACAGCUCGGGCACAGAAGAAGGGGAGAAGUCUCCUUGGUAAUCACCAAACUUCAUAUUUACACAGUGGGCCCCAGUGAAACAGUGGGCCAUAAUAAGCACAUUCCUUUCCUUUUAGGUGAAUGAAGAUAGGGAAGUUAAGGCCGACUGGGGAGUAUCCCUGAAGCUGCAGGAAGAUGUGUGGGAACAAACACAAAAACUCUUUCUCCCUGAUAAGCAAGACAAAGAGAUACAGACUAAAAGUUGGCCUAUGUGGUCUGGGAAUGGGGUGAGAGCUGAUAAAUACUCUGCUCUAUAUAAAUAGCACACCUGGUCCUAACUGAACCAUCAGGCCCUAGGAGGAUAAGGCACCCCCUCCUCAUGAGCCCCUGAUCCCUUAAAUACCCCUAGUCUGUAAGAGAAAAAGCUCCUGACCUAACUCAGCCAGAAGCCCCCGUCAGGUUUAUUCUCUAAAAUAAACCUGUCUUUGACUGUUGAGCCACCUUUCAUGCUCCUUUCUUCCUUCCUCAACUCUUACAGAUGAGAAAGGUAAUUAAUCAGAAACAAUUGUGUCUUUCAAGGAUCAGUGAGGCAGAACUAAAGCCAAUAUUAAAAGCCAAGAAGCACAUUUCUGACACUUAAAACAUAGCAAAAGAUAAUUAAUGCACAGAAAAAAUGAAAAGAGACAAGAGAGGCCAAAGCACGUGAAAUACAAAUGAGUGCCACAGGGAAAAAAUUAAAACCAAAUUGCAAAUGUUCUGCUUACACACUGAAAUGAGGCUUCUAUUAGGGACACUGAAAAAGAGCUUUUGAAAAAGUGUAUUCUGGGAUGGCUGCUCAUUGUAUGACCUUUUUAAGAAAUAAAUCCAAAAACACCAAGUUCCCCAGCAACCCAUUAAAUUACAGAGGCAAAAUAGGUACAAUUGUUUCAGAGAACAAGACAAGUUUAUCCAAUAUAAGAUUGCUAUGAAUAUGUGUGUUUGUGGAUGUCACAGAUAUGCCUAUAUAAUAGAUAAUACUGAGAAGUUUGUCUCUUGUAUGAUCAAUUUAAUCAUUUUAAACUGCAUGUAUUUCUGUUCCUGGUUUAAUUUAGUGUGCAAAUAUCUAGGUAUAUAAUAUAAAGAUUUAAUAUUUUGAUAUUAAAAUAAUUUUUAAAUUUCAUAGCAUCAUUCCUCUGAAUAACUCAAAUAACUUAAAAACGUGCACCUGAUUUAACAAAAUAUUUGUGAAAUGAGUAACUGAAAUCUGAAAAUUAAUAUCUAGCUAAAUCAACUUUGAGGUCUGACAGAAUUACCUGAUUAAUGUCUGAUGAUCAAGUAACUUUAUUCUGUCUUCAUUCAUUCUUCAAUACAUGUACACAAAAUCAUGCUAUGCAUCUAUAACAGAGCAUUUCUAAAAUCUCAUUUUGUUUUCCAUAGGGAGGCUGAUAUGGUUAGGCUGUGUCCCCACCCAAAUCUGAUCUUAAAUUGUAACUCCCAUAAUUCCCAGGUGUUGUGGGAGGGACCCAGUGGGAGAUAAUUGAAUCAUGGGGGCAGUUCCCCCAUACUGUUCUCAUGGUAGUGAAUAAGUCUCAGGAGAGCUGAUGGUUUUAUAAGAGGAAACCCCUUUUGCUUGGCUGUCAUUCUCUCUUGCCUGCCACCAUUUAAGACGUCCCUUGCUCUUCUGCCAUGAUUGUCAGGCCUCCCCAGCCAAGUGGGACUCUGAGUUCAUUAAACCUCUUUUUCU
rnacentral:lncRNA from 1 species